GAAAUGCGAUAAGUAAUGUGAAUUGCAGAAUUCAGUGAAUCAUCGAAUCUUUGAACGCACCUUGCGCUCCUUGGUAUUCCGAGGAGCAUGCCUGUUUGAGUGUCAUGGAAUUCUCAACUCUAUUUGCUUUUGUGAAUAGAGCUUGGAUUUGGAGGUUUAUUGCUGGUACUUGUGAUCGGCUCCUCUUGAAUGCAUUAGCUCGAACCUUUGCGGAUCAGCUAUCGGUGUGAUAAUUGUCUACGCCGUUGCAGUGAAGCAUAUCAAUGGGCUCGGCUUCCAAUCGUCCUUUACUGGACAAUGACUUUGACCUUUGACCUCAAAUCAGGUAGGAUUACCGGCUGAACUUAAGC
rnacentral:misc_RNA from 1 species